CGGGGCGUGGCGGAAAGGCAGACGCGCGGCUCUCAGAACGCCGUGGGCAUCGUCCGUGCGGGUUCGAAUCCCGCCGCCCCGACCA
rnacentral:tRNA from 1 species